rnacentral:tRNA from 1 species
GGCUCUGUCGUUCAAUGGACAGGACACGCGCCUUCUAAGCGCAGAAUGAGGGUUCGAUUCCCUCUGGGGCCUCCA